rnacentral:misc_RNA from 1 species
GUGAAGGAAAUUCCAAAAUUCUGUCUCAGCAAAAGGUCAAUAAAGUCAGGGAAAUACUUGGGCCCAUCUUAAGUUCUCUCAAGCGGAAAUGGAAAUUGAUUUUUUUGGCGCCUUUUGCCAACGAGUUAAGUUUUAUUAGCAGAUUAUCUAUAGCACAGGAAACCAAAAAGACAAUGAAGGAAACGAUGGAAAGAAAAGUGCUUUCGCCUCUCUCGGCCCUAGAGAAAAUUGGUAAGUCGGAGGGUUGUUUUUCUCUUAUGUAAUGUAUAGGGACCCAGAUAAAGAUCACGGCGUUUCGAUCGUGUACGUUUGAUAUAUGUCAUUGUUGAGCUGCAAUUGGUUGAUUUCGAUCACGUCUUGAUGACCAGUCACCUAGUGAAUUUCUUUGUAAUUAUAUCAUCAUUCUACGCGAAUCUGUGUGUUCUUCGACAUGCUCUUUUCUCCUCGCAUCCAAACGUUUUAUCAUCGGUUGUUUGAUCAUCUUCAGCUCGUUAUUCCGUCCUCUGCAGCAUCAAAUGAAAUUUUGUUUUACCGGAUAUGCGAUAGGGCAUAUAAACUAAACGAGAUGCACGUGUCUUCGAAGCUCUGAUCUUUCGAAGGAGCCUUGUCCAAUACAACCUCAUUCCAACGUAAGCAACGCAAACCGACGAUUCGUCCUUAUGAGGUGUAAGUAAACUACAUGAUUGGUGCGGUAUCGCCUAAUUUUUAAUCCUUUGAAUUGCCAAGUUUAAUAGCUCCAACGAAAAUACUCUCCAUUAAUUAACGAGAUAAAAUCGUUGUCAAUCGAUCCUGGUAUGGCAUUUAUUAUUCUGCAAUUAUAUUGAGUUCUUUGCGGUUUGACCUUUACGUUCAUUUGGUGGAAAAGCGUGAAUUCCUUUUAUUCAUAGUAUCUUGUUAAUCGCAUUAGCCGAGUGAGCCAACAAAAAUGAACAUGCUUUAGGUUUUUAACACACUACACUUGUAGAUAAUUGAGACUAGUAUUGCAGCCGGACAUGUAUAACGGGGACAACACUGACUGGAUGCACAAGGUACACCCAUUUUUUUUUUUUUUUUAAUCGCACCAUGUAUUCGACUACAGGUAUUUUAGAUGUUUUAUUACAAGCAUCAAGUUCGACAAUAGAAAGUCUUGAUUUCAUAACAAAUAAAGGCAAUCACCGCCAGCACCUUAAUAGCUUGAGCCUUUUAACAUAAAGCCACGAUAAUUAAUAGGCGGAGUGUAAAGCAAUACAGGUCAGGCUCAGUAUUUCAAAUAUGCUUCUAAUAAUAACAAUUGACUUAUUUUAUUUUCUUCACACAAGAGACUAUAGUCUCAUGGUUCAUAUCAUGAGAAACAGAUUUCUCUCCCUGGCGAGAAGUACACCAAAAGGAUGGAAAAUAAAUUACAACUGGAUUUUUUGUUGUCUCGAGAGGAUUAUAUUUUUGAAGUUUCGGCUUUACAUUUAGCCACUUUUCAGUGUCAACAAAAUAAAAAACCUUAAUUACCAUCUAAUGAGCUAGAAAUUACCAAGGUGCUAUAUAUAUAUACAUCUGCGUCAAAACAUGUCGAGUGCUUUGUUUGUCAGAUUUUUUACAAAAAUGUCCUCUUUUCUCUGGAAGCAGUACACGCCAAUAACUGCUGUUUUGACAAGAACUGUUUACGACAGAAGAAAUCGCCGUAGAACUUUCUUAGGAGUGACCGUAGGUACGUUGUACGAUUAUUAUCUUGUUUUUCUUUGCUGUAAUAAAAUCGUCAGUCAUAAGUAGGGCUUUACUGCGCAAAGCUGGGAUAAACCUACAAUGCUUCAAAGGGAUUACCAAAGCACUGCCUUGCCCUCCAGUGGAGCUACUUAUGUUGUGCAGUACGCUUUUUUGAUAGUUGUAUCAGAUGGAAGAAAGCAGUAUAAGAGGUUCUUUCAAAUACGCUUGAAACAAGAAGGAUUAGCAGAACAUAACGGCUUAAAAUGCUACUUCCUUCCUUUCUGAUGCCGUUGCAUUUUCCAAGACAAAAAGUCUCGAAAUUUCCGCAUAACACCCCUACAUAGAAAACGUGAUGUUGUACCUGACUAAAUACGUCAUUCAGUGCAAUUGAAGGGGCCGCGGCCAUCGUCUUUGUGUUGCCGGCAUGAAAUGGAAGACUAAUGGAUUAUUAUUUUGAGCUGAUGUUCCUAAUUACCGAUCUUUGCCUGUCCACUUAAGAGUUGUCCAAAUACCAUUGAACAUCCUAUCAUUUCUAAUUUUGUUACUUCUGGAACGGAAUGUAGCAACGUUGUCGGAGAACAUGUGAUAGAAUAUAAAACUAACACUUGUCUUUGGUCGUGAGUCGGAAUGUAACAAACUAACUAACGAUAAAAAAUCUGUUGAAUACCCAAAUUGUUAAACAGAUUAGCACGAAGAAAGUUGCUCGCAUUCUGUGGUGUCGUUAAUUCCAGUGUAAGGAGUACAAAUGUCCCCUUAAUAAAAAUGAAUUAGCCACAUGUAGUAUAAGCGAUGAAUAGUUACAUGAUGAUAACGGCAUAAAUUAUCACUGCUGGCAUAAAGCGGCCUGACCUCAUCCAGUCACUUAAGACUGAACUAGGUUUUAUCAUAUGAGAUUUGCAAGAACUAAGAGGAAUACUUAACACGUGCGGUCAAGAGCUGAGUAAGUAUUUUCACGUUGUAGUACAGUACAUUGUCACAAUAAUCUUUUGAAGACACACAUCGUGCUACCGCUAUUGUAAUAGUCUUAAAAAGAGCAAAGGUCUAAGUUUUCUUCAUGAGAGGGGCACGUGAACCAAGCGAUUUCUACCAGUCUGCCGAGUCCUGCAUUUGUCCCUACCAGCAGGAUAUUCAGUUUUGGGAAAACAGAAAAUUUAUAACACGCGACGAAUCAAUGCAUUGGCAUAUUGUAUUUGUUCGUAUAUCCGAGAGAAGCAACCCUAAUCGCUACGCAAACCGUCUCGUGUCGAUUUACCAAGCGUUAGUUCAAUUUUUCUUGAGUCUGAUCAGUCUUCUUGCUUUGUUACUGCUUUUCUUCAGUCAGAUGAGGUUUUGUUUUACUUCUUCGCGUGUUUUACUUUUUUUGGAAGAACUAACCCUUGUCCAUCGUGGUUCUUUUCAGGAUUCAGCGUGGCAAAAAAGGGAAAAUAAACAAGUCUGCCUUCUUUGAAAUCAUUAUACCCCGAGAACAGUGGGUCGGUGCGUGAGUGAGAUGUCAAACUCUACGUUGUUACUAAGUGGAUAGUUUAGUGAAAUACCAGCGCUCUUGUCAUUUGAAUUCAUUUUAGCAGUGAGCCUCGCGCAGUAAACAUUAACUUGAGGACGAGAAGAAAAAGAAGAAGAAAGGAAUUGUCCCAAGUUUACAACAAUGGAACUGUCACUGAUUUACCUGCUUCUUACACUGAUCGAGACAACGUGUAACCCUUUCUGUGAAGCAAGCAACUGGCAGAACCCAAAACUUGCAAAGUGGUAUCGCCCGUCUGCAGUCACGGAAGGCUACACCGAGACUGAAGAUGGCACUUUAUACUUAAACAUUGAUGAAGAUAGUAACACAGUCCGUGAUUUAGCCAAAAAAGUCCUUUCUAUGCUUAAUCUUACCGAUGACAUUUCGGUGCAAGGGAUCUCUUUUACUCAAGUGGACUCCAGUCUUGGAAGGUCGCGAAGGGCGCCGGGGAUCUUUGGAAAGGACACCCGGGUAAACAUGCGAGCGUCUCUCGAGGCGCAAAUGUAUCCGUUCUCCACCGCCGUGAUGCUUUCUUCCGGUUGCACUGGCACCCUCAUAGGAGCUCAGCACGUGCUGACGGCCGCACAUUGCGUGCGCAGUGGAAAAAGACUGUUAAAGAGUGCUAAAAACUUGAAAGUUGGCUUGCUUCAACGUUCAGGAAAGUUCCACUGGAUCCGCGUGCAAAGAACAUAUGUGCCCAAAGAUUGGAAGACACAGACCCCGCCGAGAGACAGGCUGAGAUACGACUUUGCGGUUUUGAAACUCAAGCGUCAGCACAACAGGCAGCACAUGUCCGUGCAGACGAGCAGCCUCCUUCCCGGCUCAAAAAUUCAGUUUUCUGGCUUCCACGGUGAUAAGUGGUACAACUCGUUAUGGUACACGUACUGCCGGGUGUACAGAAAAUCGAAUGACAUGAUUCUCAACUUCUGUGAUGGUGCUAAAGGCGUCUCCGGAUCGGGAGUUUACGUAGAUACUCCUAGUGGUGAUGAAAACGCCGUCGUUGGUGUAGUAUCGGCAAUAGCCCGAGGAAAGGUCAAAGGCAAAGUGUUGGAGUUCAAUGUUAUAAAUUCCCUUACCAGUACCAAGGUGCGACAGAUUUCAAAAUGGGUUACCAGACGCUAAUAAAUCAAACUGGCGCCGUCCCAGAGGGCGUAAGCUAAUGCUUGAGAUGCAGAAUGGCCUUCCUCAUUGUCACUAGUUUGUCUCUGUCUACUAUAAACAGUAUUAAAAUGGAACAAAAUGACAAAAACAUUUAUGUUCGCUGUUCACAUUCACAAAUCACGGAGAAAACAUCCAAGGACUUCCAGCGUCAGCGCAAAGUACUCUUUCUCAGGAACAGUAAAGUAAUAAUUUGCUUUGCGGAAACCAGUAUUAGAACCAAGGAGAAAGGCAGAAAUUUGUAGCGUCGACAAUACAGUACUCAGUCAUCACACUAACUUUCGUGCCCUGGUGCACACGAGGCCAAAUUGACGUUACGUAUGUAUGUAUGCUCAUUUUAGUUGGAGGAUGGUUGUAAAUAUUAACUUAAAAGUGAUAUUUAUUAUUCAUGCCGAGGGAUAGAUGUUUCAGAUCUGAUCUCGGGUUGUGCUGUAUGUAGGUGAAUUAGCAGAUGCCGGUGUAAAAAGCUUGAAGAGGUUGGCAUAUGUAAUGAAGAUCAUCGCUCGACAUACCUCUAACUGUAAAUUUAACAUAGUUACAGAUUGUAGGUAUAUUACAGCCAAUUUUGCAAACAGAAGCUGUUCUUCGUCCAGGCCGCGGUAAACGUUUUUAUAUGACGUGGUGGUUGAUAGCCAGUAUUAUCGUUACAAAGCUGUAGGCCUAUAUCCUUGAUCAAAUCGGUGGACACAAGGGCUUUUUUUUUUUCGUUUAUCCUGAAUAUGUUUUGAACGUUAACGUUAUCUGCUUGUUCAAUGAAACCUAGUAAAUUCUAGCACUAUUCACCCUGCUUGGAACAGGCAUUCUAUGUCAGUGUUAACCUUAGUAAGAAAAUUUGUAAUAAAUUACAAACUGAUUACAACAUAAAAUGUUCCCUUCGUCUUUAUUGACACGGAAAGGAAGUCGAACUGAAGGGACAGUUAUGUAUUUGUAUGCAUAUAUAUAUAUAUAUCUUUUUUUUUUUUUUUUCCAAUUUCCCACUCAUCUGUGUCCUUUGUUUGCCGUGUGGUGAAACUUGGUUUUUCAAUUUAACGUCUAGUGUUCAAUUAAGCAGCGGGAAAUUAAAGCUGCCUCCAUUAUUUACGCCAACUAGACGUCGUAAAUGAAAUCGUACUAACUCCCUUAUUUUCUUUUUCUUGUUCGGUGUCUUUGGUCCAGUUAACACUUGAAGCUGUAAAGCGAAUUAUUAUUUUUCUCGAGAACGUCGUAAAUUUUCACUUACAAAUUACUCAUUUCCAAUACCAACAUGGAAUAAUAUGCAAUACCUUGGCCCUUUUUAUUCUCGUGACUUUAACAUAAAUGCCUCGCAUUUAAAUUUUGGGAAUAGACACAGGAAAUAAUGCUCUUGAUUCCUGGUUCGUUAAACAAGUUACAAAUAUUAUUUGAUGGAUGUUCUAAUGACAAGGCCUCAGAUGAAAAUUGGUUUUCAUUAGAUUAAAAUGAAGCUCCCAUUCUAUUUUUUUUUUUUUUUUUUUUUUUUUAGGUUUAGGAGGUAUUUUAAUACACUUGUGAUAGCAUGAAAUUGUUACGAUGACUGAAAUCCAGUAGACAAAACACGUAGCUAACAAGCGCUCUGUGUAUACGAGAUCACACAGAGCCACUUGUUAAAUUAACAUGUUAAUUACGUUGCAGCGAAUGAGCUUUAAGAGCGUGGGAACUCACUAUAUAAACUUUUGUUUAGCACUUCAGUCAAGGAAAAGCUUGUUUACAUUUUCCACUUCAAUUGAAAACCGGGUACUUUGUUUUCGGUUACCAAUCUGGAACAAACACCUAAAGGCAAAAUUCUUUCUCUUCACCCCCUGCAAAGCGAGAAAUGGAGGGAUAGAUAAGAAGUUCCUUUUUAGGCCAAGAAAACAACAAGUGGCCUACUCCACAAUGGGCCUUAAAUGGUGACUUCGACGGAAAAUUAAACAGCAGUUAUGAAAUGAUGAAAACAAACCAUGCAUGUACUUGUAGAAAUUAAUUUUUUUCUCCAUAAAACUUACUCUGUAUCUGUUUUACUGCAAUCCUGAAGCCUUGAUCUCUACUGUUGAAUCUUUUGGCCCUGUGACAAAAUGAUUAUCUUCAAAUUGUAUCGGUUGCCUAGAGCAAGCAUCUCAUUUUCCCUUUAGAACCAUGACUGAUUACGUUGUACAACCAAAAGUACAGCUAAACUUUAUGCUGUAAAUUUAACUUUAAUCUUGUGCAUCUAGCAGUAUCACUGAUAUAGAUAAUCAUUAUACAUGUAGAUGGUUCUCCUAACUAAAGUAAUAUAGUGUUUAAUAAUCACGAGUAUUUUUCGAAACAACUGCGUAACAUAUGGACGUUUGCCGAUUUCUUGCAAUAAGUCUAAGUUAUGAAUGCAUCUGCAUAAUGCUAUUUAUAAGAAAGCGAUAAAUCUUCGAGAAGUAUCCUUACGUAGACCAUGCUAAUGGAAAACGCAAAAGGCUUCAUGAAUUCAGUCAAUUUGGGUACAUUGUCAUCGGCAUUUGUUGUUAUUCUUUUCUGAAAUCCAAACAUCUUGUCAAUACAUUCCAUGUGCGCCGGGUUACAAAUUUGGUUAAUGACAUAACACGGCCAACUUUCGAAAACAAGGCUUUUGCCUUAAUGAGGCCACAUUUAGCUACCUUAAAGUUAUUUCGUUAAAUAGGUAAUUUGAUUUAUUGUCAAAUUCUCUCGCCUGCCCUUGGUGCUUCUAUAUACGAACCUUGGUGAGCCUAUAAACGGCUUGUGUCUCCUGAACUGAUGCAAAUAAAGUGAGGAAACUAAAACAUUUCAAAUGUCUAUGAACCCUGGAUUAUAAGUUGUAUAUUCUUUGGAUUUUUCUCUGUUUUUUGCUUUCGUUACAAUGGGCACAUUUGAAGAAAGUAAAGCAAAGAAUAAAGCGACUUAUUUUGCUAAAGCAGCCCAACAUACCUCCAGUUUUGGCCACCAUGCAUCUCAGUGAACCUCCUGAACGUCCGCUACUUAAAAGAACGCCUGAGUUACCCUGCCCCUUUCAUGACCCUAGUCAAAACUAAUUUUAUGGUCAUUGAAGUAGCUCGGGUAGCUUAAUCUGCAGUUACAUAUGCAGUCAUGAGCAAACCCACACCUUUAACCGUUCCUUAACUGGUUUGUUUUCAUACCAUGCACUCAGCGAACAAGGGAAUCCCAAGGCAUGGCCACGGCCUUGGCAAUUAUCAUGAUUAGAUGCUCAACUGGACACAAAUUGGAAAAUCAUUUCCAAUGAUUUACUUCUAUUAUUGGCAAGUGAAGUUGAGGUAUCUUCUUUUGUUUGGAAAACAUGUCGAGAAUUCAGAUCAAAUGGGUUGACGCAAUGUAAGGAAUUCGUCCAAGGAGGUAUUUGCAAGCUCGCAUUUACAAGACCUUUCGGGAAUGUACUGAGGAUCGUAACACCAGAAUACUGAAGGAGUUUUGUCUCAACCGAAAUCGUGGUCAAACCGUAAAGUUCUUCUCCAGAUGUAUGGCAAGUUACUUCUCUGACAGUGAAAUGGGAUAUAAACAUGACCGAUAGCGGAAUUAACGCAUUUUGGUGGUUCGCAUUCGUGACAAUUGCAAGAAACAACUUACAAUGAUUUUGCAACUCUAGGGGGUUGUAUUUUGGAGCUUGAUCAACACUGAAAAAUCGCAAGGAGAGAAAAUCUGCCGGACGAAGUUCUAUGCCCUUUUUAUUUUGACUGGAGUUCGAGUCUGAUAACCAAGCAGGAGCGCCAAAAACAUCACGAAUCCCUACCGAUGUAUACAGAAUACCUAGCACAGAGAUUUCCGACUUGGUGCAAGACUUCAAGUGCCAGAUUUCGAAGCGAUAAUUAACAGAUCAAAACACUGGUAACGUUAAUUAUACCAAGCCGCCGUCUCCAGGCAGAUGGAUCGAUCAGGCCACAGGAAUGCACUAACGUCAUGCACUGUAGUUUCUUUCCUCUCCAAAUCAAACAUUGAUCUCCCCUUGCAAAGAUAGCAUUUCGUCUGAACAAGCCUUUGACAGAUCAACUCUUGAGAGCUAUUAAAUGCAAGGUGAAGACUUGGUGGAGACGCCAACUUGGUUAGCAAUUGUUAAGGUGAACAAUGGUAAGUGGCUCUUGACGUUUGUGUUCAAUUUGGAUUUGUUAUUUUCUUUCUACAUUUGUCAUAUAUUUCGUUCUGCAAUUAAUUUUGAUGAAAAUAUUCGAAGUAAAGUAACCAACGUAUCUAUUCUGACAGCUUAAAUGUACCUUAAUGCUUAAUAACUAUUGACCUAUCAUAAUACGGGAAUCACCUUAGUUAUUUUAUACAUAAUCUAUCCUAAAGUUCUGUUUCAAAGCUAGCCCAAUGUCUCCCGGAACAAUUAAGGUGCACCAGCAAUGCCCCUAAGCCUGAGAACCAACAGAGGUGGGGUUUCUAAAGAAUGAAUGAAAAAUAGAAUUCCUAAAUUGACUGAGGUCUACUGCAAACUUAGUGGAAUCAGAAAUUCUUGAAGGGUCAUUGUAACCACAACCGUUUGCCCACAAUUUUGAGUAACAUGAGGGUGGGUGACAUGAGGAUGAGAUUACAUGAUUGUAAAAUUAAUUCAAAUUGCCAAGCCUCUGUUCAGUAAGAGAUCAAAGAUGACUUAAAAAUGUGGCCGAGGAAACAAAUUAAACAAAUCCUGAAAUGCUAUCACCAAUAUCUGCAAUGUGGACCUCCAACAUUGGUACAGAUUGUCGCGUUUCUCUACAUUUCAGCAAAAAAAAACAAAACACCCAUUUUAACAAAAUAGAGAACGUUGGAAGAAGACUUUUAAAACUCAGGAAAUAACGAGGAUUUUCGAUUAUUUAAUAAUCUUUAGGGCGAAGACAAAUAAUCGCAAAUAUUACAUGUUUUGAAAAUAUUUUAAACAAAGGCCAGAUUGUUUCCGGACUGUCAGAUUGCUUCCGGAUUCCAUUUUUCAUCACCUGUCUUUUCUAUUUGAUAUAUGGUGUCGAAAACCACGUCUGGUAAUUGACGCUAGGGCGGAUUGGGUGUGGUGAGUAAAAAUGUUUCUAGUAAAUGUGCAUUUGCUAAACAGCAACUAGAAAUUGAAAGGUAAAUUCAUGCUUUGUGACCAUCCAAACCGUGAACGUGAUACAGUACAGUUUAAACAAAUUACGUGCUUUAUUUUUUUUGUUCUUUUCAACUUGCGUGAUACUUCAUACUGUUUAGGUCUUAUAUAUACGUUAUCUUGCUUACAACCUUUAGGUUGCUAUUUAAAUCCAUUAUUCAUAUUGUGUUUCAGUCAUCAUAAAUUGUGAAUGAACAAUUAGUCUUCCGCCUACAUUCGGGACUAUUUAUCAGUUUGCAGCGUCAUAUAAGCCGACUGCCUCUGUACAUGAAGAACUGGGAUCAGUUCUAUGGAAAAUAUUUACACUAGUGUUAUGUUUCUUAUUACUUAGACUUAAUAAGAGAAAUUGAUUUACAAUAUUUAGAAGUGUCCAAAGCCGUUUAAAUCUAUACACAGGUAAUCCCUUUUACAUAUAAUCACCUCCCUUUAUGCACACAGUUUAUACGCCGUUGGUUUCGCUGUUUUAUAACCUCUAAGUGACCUAGCGUUGACCAUAGGGUUUGUUAUUAUGCUUUGCCUUUUUGUUUCAACAAACGACAUUUGAUGUCUGCGAAAAAGAACAAAAUUAACUAAACGUAAAUUGCUCAUGGAACCGCAACACGCCGUAGGCAACAUCGGUCUAAUUCAUGUUAAUUUUAAUUGCCUUUUGCAAUGAAAAACAUCUCAAGAUCAAUGCAUAGCUCUAUAGCUCGCAAAUAUUCUUAACGACAUCAACCUAUUUGAUAUUAAAAAUUGACCGUAACGAUUUUUCUUACCAUGUUUUCAGUUAAUCGUGCUUCCCUGCGAAACCGGCUUCCAAGAAGAUUGCACGCUGUUGCGCAAUAAUGAGCUGCUCUUUGCAUGAUAUAUAAAUUUCAAUCAUACAACGUUAUCUGCCCCUGAUAACACGUUAUCAUGUACUGUGAAGAAACCCAAUGUUACCUGCAUGCAGUUGGGUACAAAAGUAAAACCACAAAAUUAAUAGACGGCCUGGUAUAUUACAAACCACGUAACGCAACAAUAAACUGUCUUAAGUUAACUUCCACCUUAAGUCUAAUUAUUGCUCGGCGAUAUUCACGUCUUUUUCAAGAGCCCUUCGAAACUUUUCCAAACUCUAAAUAUAUAUAUAUAUAUUUUUUUUUUUAACGGCUUCUUCUCUAAUCCCACUCCAAUAUUACUGAGCUAGUACUCGGUUGAUGUUUUUAAAUCCACGCAAGUCGCGACGUCAGCACCAUUCUCUUUACAAGACGAAAACUCUUUGCUUCACUUCAAAACUUCGCACGACGGAUAUAUAAUGUCAGCCGUUUAAACACGGUCUGCAGGCGCAUUUCUUUGCUUCUGGGUAGCGAAUCACUUUUAUUACUCCGUGGCAGUUCACUGAUUUUUCUUUGAUAGUAGCUUCGAUGGGUGCA